CCGUUGGGGCUCCGGCCCCAAUCAAGAUACCACCCCUUGCAUUUUGAGCACCUUCUGUUUCCUCGGCGGGCCCGCCCGCCAACGGGGACCACACCAAACCCUUCUGUACUGCAGUAAGCGUCUGAAAACAAACAAAAAUCA
rnacentral:misc_RNA from 1 species